rnacentral:rRNA from 1 species
GAUGAACGCUGGCGGCGUGCCUAAUACAUGCAAGUCGAGCGAACGGACGAGAAGCUUGCUUUUCUGAUGUUAGCGGCGGACGGGUGAGUAACACGUGGAUAACCUACCUAUAAGACUGGGAUAACUUCGGGAAACCGGAGCUAAUACCGGAUAAUAUUUUGAACCGCAUGGUUCAAAAGUGAAAGACGGUCUUGCUGUCACUUAUAGAUGGAUCCGCGCUGCAUUAGCUAGUUGGUAAGGUAACGGCUUACCAAGGCAACGAUGCAUAGCCGACCUGAGAGGGUGAUCGGCCACACUGGAACUGAGACACGGUCCAGACUCCUACGGGAGGCAGCAGUAGGGAAUCUUCCGCAAUGGGCGAAAGCCUGACGGAGCAACGCCGCGUGAGUGAUGAAGGUCUUCGGAUCAUAAAACUCUGUUAUUAGGGAAGAACAUAUGUGUAAGUAACUGUGCACAUCUUGACGGUACCUAAUCAGAAAGCCACGGCUAACUACGUG